CCAACCUGAUCGGGGUUAAUGAAGUGCACGUGUGUGUCGAUGGCUCCGGCGGUCAGGAUCUUGUGCUCACCGGAGAUCACAUCGGUGGCGACACCCACUGGAAUGGUCACGCCGUCUUGAAUCAGGGGGUUACCAGCUUUGCCGAUUGCAAAGAUCCGGCCGUCACGCAGUGCGACGUCGGCCUUAUAAAUCCCGGUGUAGUCCAGUACGACGACGUUGGUGAUGACUGUAUCCGGAAUACCUUCAUCGCGGGUCAUCUGGCCGUUUUGGCCCAUCCCGUCGCGG
rnacentral:sRNA from 1 species